UCGGCACAGACUCCUACGGGAGGCAGCAGCAAGGAAUCUUGGGCAAUGGGCGAAAGCCUGACCCAGCAACGCCGCGUGAGGGAUGAAGGCUUUCGGGUUGUAAACCUCUUUUCAUAGGGAAGAAUAAUGACGGUACCUGUGGAAUAAGCUUCGGCUAACUACGUGCCAGCAGCCGCGGUAAUACGUAGGAAGCAAGCGUUAUCCGGAUUUAUUGGGCGUAAAGUGAGCGUAGGUGGUCUUUCAAGUUGGAUGUGAAAUUUCCCGGCUUAACCGGGACGAGUCAUUCAAUACUGUUGGACUAGAGUACAGCAGGAGAAAACGGAAUUCCCGGUGUAGUGGUGAAAUGCGUAGAUAUCGGGAGGAACACCAGAGGCGAAGGCGGUUUUCUAGGUUGUCACUGACACUGAGGCUCGAAAGCGUGGGGAGCGAACAGAAUUAGAUACUCUGGUAGUCCACGCCUUAAACUAUGGACACUAGGUAUAGGGAGUAUCGACCCUCUCUGUGCCGAAGCUAACA
rnacentral:rRNA from 1 species